GGAACAUCCACUUGUUCCAGCUCACACCCUGCCAAUUGUUUGUGCAGCACCUUCACAUCCUGAAAACGACAAUACACAUCUUAGUUGGUUGAAUCCACAGAUGUGGAACCCAUGGAUGUGAAGGACCAAGUGUACUUUGUACCAGUGGUUCUCAAAGUGUGGGCCCUGGACCAGCCGCAGUAGCGUCACCCGGGAACUUGUAAGAAAUGCACAUUUCAGCCUCUGUUUCAGAUGGACCUAUCAGAAUCUCUGGAGGUUUCCCCAGGAGCACUUCCAUAGCACACGGCCCACAAGUGAAUGCUAGAUUUGGGCUUUGCUUCUGAGGAGUCCAGU